GAUGAACGCUGGCGGCGUGCUUAACACAUGCAAGUCGAGCGAAGCGGUUUAAGGGAAGUUUUCGGAUGGAACUUGAACUGACUGAGCGGCGGACGGGUGAGUAACGCGUGGGUAACCUGCCUCAUACAGGGGGAUAACAGUUAGAAAUGACUGCUAAUACCGCAUAAGCGCACAGCACCGCAUGGUGCAGUGUGAAAAAACUCCGGUGGUAUGAGAUGGACCCCGCGUCUGAUUAGGUAGUUGGUGGGGUAACGGCCACC
rnacentral:rRNA from 1 species